rnacentral:rRNA from 1 species
GACGAACGCUGGCGGCGUGCUUAACACAUGCAAGUCGAACGGAAAGGCCCUGCUUUUGUGGGGUGCUCGAGGGGCGAACGGGUGAGUAACAAGUGAGUAACCUGCCCCUGACUUUGGGAUAACUUAAGGAAACUGGGGCUAAUAACGGAUAGGAUCUCCUGCUGCAUGGUGGGGGAUGGAAAGUUUCGGCGGUUGGGGAUGGACUCGCGGCUUAUCAGCUUGUUGGUGGGGUGGUGGCUUACCAAGGCUUUGACGGGUAGCCGGCCUGAGAGGGUGACCGGCCACAUUGGGACUGAGAUACGGCCCAGACUCCUACGGGAGGCAGCAGUGGGGAAUAUUGCACAUUGGGCGGAAGCCUGAUGCAGCAACGCCGCGUGCGGGAUGACGGCCUUCGGGUUGUAAACCGCUUUCGCCGGUGACGAAGCGGUAGUGACGGUAAUGGGUAAAGAAGCACCGGCUAACUACGUG